rnacentral:rRNA from 1 species
AAGAUUGGCUAAUACCGCAUACGUCUGUAAAGGGAAAGCGGGGGCUCGUAAGACCUCGCGCUAUUGGAUGAGCCAAAGUCGGAUUAGCUAGUUGGUGGGGUAAUGGCCUACCAAGGCGACAAUCCGUAGCUGGUCUGAGAGGACGACCAGCCACACCGGAACUGAGACACGGUCCGGACUCCUACGGGAGGCAGCAGUGGGGAAUAUUGGACAAUGGGGGAAACCCUGAUCCAGCGACGCCGCGUGUGUGAAGAAGGCCUGCGGGUUGUAAAGCACUUUUAGUGGGGACAAAAAGCUACGGAUUAAUACUCUGUGGUCUUGAUUUAACCCAAAGAAAAAGCACCGGCUAACUCUGUGCCAGCAGCCGCGGUAAUACAGAGGGUGCGAGCGUUAAUCGGAAUUACUGGGCGUAAAGCGCGCGUAGACGGUUUUGUAAGUCAGAUGUGAAAUCCCUGGGCUCAACCUGGGAACUGCAUUUGAUACUGCAUGGCUAGAGUAUCGAAGAGGGAAGUGGAAUUUCCGGUGUAGCGGUGAAAUGCGUAGAUAUCGGAAGGAACACCAGUGGCGAAAGCGACUUCCUGGUCGAAUACUGACGUUCAUGUGCGAAAGCGUGGGGAGCAAACAGGAUUAGAUACCCUGGUAGUCCACGCCAUAAACGAUGACAACUAGAUGUUGGGAGGGUCUGCCUCUCGGUGUCGCAGCUAACGCGUUAAGUUGUCCGCCUGGGGAGUACGGCCGCAAGGUUG